GACGUAGGGCGCGAGCGUUGUCCGGAUUUAUUGGGCGUAAAGGGUGCGUAGGUGGCGCUGUAAGUCGGGUGUGAAAUUUCGGAGCUUAACUCCGAAACUGCAUUCGAUACUGCGGUGCUUGAGGACUGGAGAGGAGACUGGAAUUCAUGGUGUAGCAGUGAAAUGCGUAGAGAUCAUGAGGAAGACCAGUGGCGAAGGCGGGUCUCUGGACAGUUCCUGACACUGAGGCACGAAGGCCAGGGGAGCAAACGGG
rnacentral:rRNA from 1 species